rnacentral:rRNA from 1 species
GAUGAACGCUGGCGGCGUGCCUAAUACAUGCAAGUCGAACGAAACUUCUUUAUCACUGAGUGCUUGCACUCACCGAUAAAGAGUUGAGUGGCGAACGGGUGAGUAACACGUGGGCAACCUGCCCAAAAGAGGGGGAUAACACUUUGAAACAUGUGCUAAUACCGCAUAACCAUAGUUACCGCAUGGUAACUAUGUAAAAGGUGGCUAUACUACCGCUUUUGGAUGGGCCCGCGGCGCAUUAGCUAGUUGGUAGGGUAAAGGCUUACCAAGGCAAUGAUGCGUAGCCGAAUUGAGAGGUUGAUCGGCCACAUUGGGACUGAGACACGGCCCAAACUCCUACGGGAGGCAGCAGUAGGGAAUCUUCCACAAUGGGCGAAAGCCUGAUGGAGCAACGCCGCGUGGGUGAAGAAGGUCUUCGGAUCGUAAAACCCUGUUGUUAGAGAAGAAAGUGCGUGAGAGUAACUGUUCACGUUUCGACGGUAUCUAACCAGAAAGCCACGGCUAACUACGUG